ACAAAUUUUCAAGAAAGGGACACCAUUUGGUUUUGCUUGGUCAUAGGAAUUGUAAAAAUACUUUCCUUUUUUACACUUGUUAGAUUAGUUUUUGGUAUUUUGGGAUGCGUGAGUGUAUUGGUUAUUGAUCUUUAGUGUAUUAUUUUUUGUCACUAAUCACUUGAUUCGAUGUAGAAAAAGGAGUAUUUCUUCUACCACCAAACAACUAGGUUAAUUGUGAUGAUUAAAAAGAAUCCGAGUAUGGCCUUUUAAAUUAGGAAAUUUUCAGUUUCUUAUAUAUUCUCUCGGCAUUCAUUCCCUUGAUGUGUGUAUGUAGGUGUUGUCACUUAUGGAGGACGGGAUGCCAAGCCGCUCGGCAUGGUCUUGGUCACUAGCAGACUGCACACGGUGAGAAGAAAGGCCUAGAGACAUCAGCGAGUGAGGGUGAUCUAGUGUUCUGGCCUGGAGAUGAACUGGCUGCUCUGCACCUUCCACAAUAGGAUGUCGAGGAGGAGGACUAGAUGAUGGCAGCUGCAGCUGGAUGCUUCUUGCAGCCUGAUGAUGUUGUUGGGUCCGACCCCAAACUCAGUCUGACCAUGAUGUCCAGCCCAUACACAAGCUACAAGAGACAUACUUGUGUAUGGGAUGGAUCGUGCUGCUAUUUGGUCUAUUUGGUACAGUGGACCGGCUGGGGCUGUCACCCUUGCCAGCGGAGACGAUGGAGCAAGAUGAGGUAAUUGAGGACUUGUCAAGCAGUGCACCAUCAAGGUGGGGCCCAUCGGGGGCCUUGCCAAGAAACUAAUCUUUACGGUUCUGGUUUGCUAUUCGAAUUGCUUGCUAAACAGAUAUAUAACUGUCCUAAUCUUGUUAACAUCUAUGCGUAGUUCCUAGGUCAUCAUGAUUCUUCUCAUAACUUCACUGUAGCUAGUUUGUUGUGACCUAAAGCUGUUUGUACCCAGUUUUGUUAAUUUGUGAUGCUCUAGCUGCUAGUUUCCCAUUUAGUAGGUUUGUACCCAGUUUUGAUAGCCAUGCCUUGGAAGCCGAAAGACAAGAAGACACCAUGUUCCUUGCUCGAGCUGGGGCCUCUAUGCAGCAGGUUUUCUUCUAGCACGAUAGCUACACAAUAUAUAUGGUUACUACAAUGCUUUGAUUCGACGUCUCAGAAACAUUCAUGUUCUGCAUUGACUUUGCUUGAUGUUCUUUUUUAUGUAUUAGUUUUGUUGUAUGCACCUUAGUGUCUUUUUUGAAGUAUAUGAUCUGGAUGUCCAAUAUAAGUCAUGGCUAAAAUUCCAAUACUACUGCUAAUUAAACUUGUAUUUGUUAAUUAGCUGAAGAACUACUAUUGUUUCUUGAAGAAAAAUCAUAAGUGGCGUUGGUAUUUCUGGUCUUGCAUUAUUUGUCUAUCACGAGCUAGCUAGUUUGUUUAUCACUGAUCAGGCUGGAUUUAUUAUUUUGGCUAUCCUCUGGACGAAGCUAGCGGGUUGUCACUGUUGCUUUGUCCUUUCCUGCUUAUUGGUUGGUGUCGGCCCUGGGCUGCACUGAUCUAUUUUCUGCUAUUGCCAUUGUAGGUUAUAUGAGGCUGUGGUCGUCGUUUUUGCUGGCCUUUUCGGAUUGAGCUGCGCUGGUUGGCUGCGGCGUAACUCUAGGGCUUCGUGACCGAACACUUGUGUCUUGAAUUCUGAAGGCUGGGAGUUUGACCAUUUUUAUCACUAGAGUUACUGGACAUUUAUAUGAUUGAUGAUAUCCAGAUCGUUUCUUUAUACAUGCGGUGUGUUGCUAGCUGCUGGAUGCAGGGAAGGUGUGUUGCUAGCUGCUGGAUGCAGGGAAGGUGUGCUAGCUGCUGGAUGCAGGGUAGGUGUGUUGCUAGCUGCUGGAUGCAGGGAAGUUGAUCAUAUUGUUUCUGCAUUUCUUAUGGGCAUGGAGGUUGUUGAGCUGCGGGAGGGCGAGAGAUACUUUCUGCAGCUCGGCUGGUAAAC